UACGAAGGGGGCUAGCGUUGCUCGGAAUUACUGGGCGUAAAGGGCGCGUAGGCGGAUACUUAAGUUAGAGGUGAAAGCCCAGGGCUCAACCCUGGAAUAGCCUUUAAUACUGGGUAUCUUGAGUUCGGGAGAGGUGAGUGGAAUUCCCAGUGUAGCGGUGAAAUGCGUAGAUAUUGGGAGGAACACCAGUGGCGAAGGCGGCUCGCUGGACCGGAACUGACGCUGAGGCGCGAAAGCGUGGGGAGCAAACAGG
rnacentral:rRNA from 1 species